rnacentral:ribozyme from 1 species
AACAAAAAGAAAAAUCACAAUAAUAAGUUACAAGCAUGUAUCUUGUUGUUGUUGUGCAUUUGAUUUCUUCUUGUCUUGUU